UGGGGAAUAUUGCACAAUGGGCGCAAGCCUGAUGCAGCGACGCCGCGUGGGGGAUGACGGCCUUCCGGUUGUAAACUCCUUUCGCUAGGGACGAAGCUUUUUGUGACGGUACCUAGAUAAGAAGCACCGGCUAACUACGUGCCAGCAGCCGCGGUAAUACGUAGGGUGCGAGCGUUGUCCGGAAUUACUGGGCGUAAAGGGCUCGUAGGUGGUUUGUCGCGUCGUCUGUGAAAUUCCGGGGCUUAACUCCGGGCGUGCAGGCGAUACGGGCAUAACUUGAGUACGGUAGGGGUAACUGGAAUUCCUGGUGUAGCGGUGAAAUGCGCAGAUAUCAGGAGGAACACCGAUGGCGAAGGCAGGUUACUGGGCAGUUACUGACGCUGAGGAGCGAAAGCAUGGGUAGCGAACAGG
rnacentral:rRNA from 1 species